CUUACACAUGCAAGUCGACUGGAAUUCACCUUCGGGUGAUAGUACGGUGGCGGACGGGUGAGUAACGCGUAAAGAACUUGCCCUCUAGACUGGGACAACUGUUGGAAACGACAGCUAAUACCGGAUAUUAUGGACCCCUGGCAUCUGGGGACUAUGAAAGGCUAUAUGCGCUAGAGGAGAGCUUUGCGUCCCAUUAGUUAGUUGGUAGGGUAAUGGCCUACCAAGGCGACGAUGGGUAGCCGGCCUGAGAGGGUGAUCGGCCACAAGGGGACUGAGACACGGCCCUUACUCCUACGGGAGGCAGCAGUGGGGAAUAUUGGACAAUGGACCAAAAGUCUGAUCCAGCAAUUCUGUGUGCACGAUGAAGGUCUUCGGAUUGUAAAGUGCUUUCAGCAGGGAAGAAGCAAGUGACGGUACCUGCAGAAGAAGCGACGGCUAAAUACGUGCCAGCAGCCGCGGUAAUACGUAUGUCGCAAGCGAUAUCCGGAAUUAUUGGGCGUAAAGCGCGUCUAGGCGGCCUAUUAAGUCUGAUGUUAAAAUGCGGGGCUCAACUCCGUAUUGCGUUGGAAACUGGUAGGCUAGAGUAUCAGAGAGGUGGGCGGAACUACAAGUGUAGAGGUGAAAUUCGUAGAUAUUUGUAGGAAUGCCGAUGGGGAAGCCAGCUCACUGGAUGAAUACUGACGCUGAAGCGCGAAAGCGUGGGGAGCAAACGGGAUUAGAUACCCCGGUAGUCCACGCCGUAAACGAUGAUCACUAAGUGUGGGGGGUCGAACCUCCGUGCUCAAGCUAACGCGAUAAGUGAUCCGCCUGGGGAGUACGUACGCAAGUAUGAAACUCAAAGGAAUUGACGGGGACCCGCACAAGCGGUGGAGCAUGUGGUUUAAUUCGACGCAACGCGAGGAACCUUACCAGCCCUUGACAUCCCAAGAACUUAGCAGAGAUGCUUUGGUGCCCCUUCGGGGGAACUUGAUGACAGGUGGUGCAUGGCUGUCGUCAGCUCGUGUCGUGAGAUGUUGGGUUAAGU
rnacentral:rRNA from 1 species